GCCCUGCCCCAAAAUAAGCCCCCCGUUGAGUGAAAUCCUGGCCUCCACCACUGUGCAGCAACCAGAAGAAAAUGAUACGACUGUGUUUGAAUAAAUGUAGCUUGUUGUACAUGGAAAAAAAAAUAUCCCCUGAAAAUAAGCCCUAAAAAAUUUAUGUAAGACCCUGUCUUAUUUUUGGGGAAACACAGAGUAUUAAACUGACUUAAUAUCACAGACACACAUAAUUACGAUUGUAACAUGCUGGUAUUUAAUUCUAUAAGUAUGAAUGUGGAUGGUAACUCUUGCAAGGGUUUAACGAUACUUGAAGGAAACUGACAUUCAUCCCAAAAGUCAGCCUACGUAAUCCUUUAUUAUUACAUUUCUCCGCCAGGGCACAAAACAAUUUUAGGCCCCAAGCGUAACUAACACCCAGUCACCAUGGCAAACAAGAAGCGGAUGUUUGAUAGGGGACCUAAAUCGCCUAGUGAUGAGCUCACCGAGUUAGUUCUAUUCGCCUUUCUUUUUCAAAAAAUAAUAUUCCCCCUCUACUGUCCACGGAUUAAGAGCUUGGACCGUCCCUGUGAAGAAGCACAGCUGCAAAAUAUCAUUUGAAUGCAACAGAAAUAGUUCAAUCCGCUUUUGACUCCCCGCUGCCGAUAGAACGUCGUAGGCUCAGACGGGUUAAAGGAAACCAGACAGGCGCUGCUUUGGACAGCCCAUUUUGGGGCUUUCCCGUGCAUUGUGAACUGGUCUUAGAAAAGAGGUUUAUGGCUUGAGGCGUUAAACUUCAAGGCUUUGAGAGUUCCUGGUUUGGAUGGGCUGUCGGGCUCCGCCCCCUCAGUUUCAUUGGUUGCAUUGUUCCCUCGGGGGCGUGGGUGAGCCACGUAACCCUGCCCUCGGAUGUUUGGUUUCCGUUCAGUGUGGGAAUCGGUGGAAGGGAAGCGAAUGGCUUUGCCCUCAGUUCACAGGUGCCUCCAACUCAAUCAAGAAAAUCAGCUGCUGCUUAAAAAGCUGAGGCAUGCACGCUUAAAAAAUAAGCAGCUGGAAAGUGAUUUUAUAAAGUUACAAGAACAGCUGCAUGAAGAAAAGAAGUUCAUUGUCUCCCCUGUCACAAAGAGAGAUGUGCUGGUUCAAACAGAUGGGAUUAACCAGAAGGAACAUGAAAUAGUAAAGAAAAAUGCUCGGGUACUCCAGAUGUACAACAAUUUGCAGAAAAGGUACAAUAAAGAAGUAAAAAUAAACCAAGGACAAAGUGAAACAAUUGCAACACUUUCUGCUAAAAUUAAUGAACUGGAACAUCAGCUUCGGUUAGCAAAACAAAAAGUGAUGGCAUUGGAAAGCAAGAUUCCAGCAAAGAACAAAACAGUUCAGUUGAAAAGAAAAGUUUCAUCUCAUAAAUGCAUGUGUAAAAAGAAGGGGAGCUGUUCUUGCAAAUAUUUAGACCAGUUGCUUGUUGAGAUUCAGCGUCUGAAGAUGGAAAAUGAAACUAUAUCGAAAGAAAGAAGAAUGUUGAGAAAUGAAAUUGCUGCUUUAGACAAGGAUUUUUUUGAUGAAAUAGAAGAUUUAAAAUAUGCUCUUCAAGAAGCCAUAAAAAUGAAUACUCGGUAUGAAAGGUGUUUGAAACAACUAAGUUCAACUUAUGGAGUUACCCUUACAUCAACUUUGCCAGCUGCUAAACAUCGAGGAUCUCUAUAGAAACAGAAUUCAACCAAGAUUAUUAUUAAACUGAAAGUACUGUCGAAAAUUACUUAUUAGGAUAGCAUUAUGUUCAAUAAAAUCAUGUCUAAUUUUUAAACUUUUGCA
ensembl:lncRNA centrosomal protein of 290 kDa-like